AGGAUGAACGCUGGCGGCGUGCCUAACACAUGCAAGUCGAACGUCCUGUCUCGCAAGAGGCAGGGAGUGGCGGACGGGUGAGUACCACGUGGGUCAUCUACCGUGAGGUGAGGAAUACCGGCGAGAAAUCGCCGACAAGACCGCAUAGCCUCGGUGCAAGUUGAGGAAAGCUCUCUCGAGAGAGGGAGCGCCACACGAGGAGCCUGCGCCCGAUUAGCUAGCUGGUGGAGUAAUGGUUCACCAGGGCGACGAUCGGUAGCUGGUCUGAGAGGACGAUCAGCCACACUGGGAUUGAGAACGGCCCAGACUCCUACGGGGGGCAGCAGUGAGGAAUUUCGUCAAUGGGGGCAACCCUGAACGAGCAACGCCGCGUGCAGGAAGAAGGUUUCGGAUCGUAAACUGCUUUUCUCGGGGAAGAGAACGGACGGUACCCGAGGAAUCAGCCCCGGCUAACUACGCGCCAGCAGCCGCGGU
rnacentral:rRNA from 1 species